AGAGUUUGAUCAUGGCUCAGAUUGAACGCUGGCGGAAUGCUUUACACAUGCAAGUCGAACGGCAGCACGGGGCAACCUGGUGGCGAGUGGCGAACGGGUGAGUAAUACAUCGGAACGUGCCCAAUCGUGGGGGAUAACGUAGCGAAAGUUACGCUAAUACCGCAUACGAUCUACGGAUGAAAGCGGGGGAUCGCAAGACCUCGCGCGAGUGGAGCGGCCGAUGUCAGAUUAGGUAGUUGGUGGGGUAAAGGCUCACCAAGCCAACGAUCUGUAGCUGGUCUGAGAGGACGACCAGCCACACUGGAACUGAGACACGGUCCAGACUCCUACGGGAGGCAGCAGUGGGGAAUUUUGGACGAUGGGCGCAAGCCUGAUCCAGCCAUUCCGCGUGCAGGAUGAAGGCCUUCGGGUUGUAAACUGCUUUGUACGGAACGAAACGGCGAGCUCUAAUACAGUUUGCUAAUGACGGUACCGUAAGAAUAAGCACCGGCUAACUACGUG
rnacentral:rRNA from 1 species